rnacentral:lncRNA from 1 species
UUCCAAUACCUCUGAAGAUGCAGUAGGAAGGAAUGAAGCUUCUUAAAGAAGAAAAGCACCGAAGAAGUCUAAGGCUCAGUGAGACCAGGCAUAAUUGGGCCUUGUAGUCUUUGCUUUAUUCCCGUUACACGACAAUGAGUAAAGAGGGGCAGCUGUAAUAAGGCCCAAUCGGCCUGGGUCCAAACUAAACAAAAACAUGUCAGACCCAACAAAACUAACCUAAGCCCAAUACAGACCUCAGCCCAAAGCUAAAAAACAAAAAAAGAAAACCCUAGCAGCAGGUAGCGCCGCAGCCUCCGCCUCCAGCAAAGCCUCCAGCCAUCGCACGUCACGCACACGUUUCUCUCCACGAACACCUGCAAAAACACGGAC